UGCAGUCGAGCGGACUUACAAAAGCUUGCUUUUGUAAGUUAGCGGCGGACGGGUGAGUAACACGUGGGCAACCUGCCCUUGAGACUGGGAUAACUUCGGGAAACCGGAGCUAAUACCGGAUAAUAUAAGGAACCUCCUGGUUCCUUAUUGAAAGAUGGUUUCGGCUAUCACUUAAGGAUGGGCCCGCGGCGCAUUAGCUAGUUGGUGAGGUAACGGCUCACCAAGGCGACGAUGCGUAGCCGACCUGAGAGGGUGAUCNGCCACACUGGGACUGAGACACGGCCCAGACUCCUACGGGAGGCAGCAGUAGGGAAUCUUCCACAAUGGACGAAAGUCUGAUGGAGCAACGCCGCGUGAGUGAUGAAGGCCUUCGGGUCGUAAAGCUCUGUUGUUAGGGAAGAACAAGUGCGAGAGUAACUGCUCGCACCUUGACGGUACCUAACCAGAAAGCCACG
rnacentral:rRNA from 1 species